CAUAAGAACUGCGUUUACGUAUUAGUAGAUGCGGGCAGGAUACAUGUUUCAGUAAUAAUUUAAUACUAAUUCAUAAAAUAUGAAGUGAGAUCAUGGUUAUAUAGAUGCUUUUGUUUCUUUAAGGCUCCCCGUUCAUUCGAAGUUGGGCUGGUUUCAUAUGACGCCAUCCUUUUAUUUUUAUCCCAAUGACCUCAUCUCUAUGGUUGAAGUUUACUAACCAGUGAAUCUUUUCUUCUACUUUACUUUUGUCUUUACUUUUGAUUAUUCCUAAUGAAACAAAGCUAAACAUUUUCCUGCGAAAGAUGACUGGAUUGUGAAAUGUUCUUUGGGACGCAUAUUUCUCUUAACGAUAUGUGUGCCUUAUAUAAGGGAUCUGGCCUCCCCAAGGGUUCCUCUUAAAGUCGUUUUAGUGACCUGUUAGGUUACUGACUGGAUACACCACUGUAGCUACUACUCUCUAGCACCCGCAUAGCUGAAGACCAUUGGCAAAGCUGAAUCAGGUGGGCCAUUGAAGUGGCUGGUGGAAUUAGCAUGUGACAGAAGAUGAAGGAGGCUGAGCAACCUGAGAAUGCUGAUAACCACUUAAGCAUGAAGACAAGGAGCGAGGUGCAGGAUGAUGUAAUCGUCACACAGGCCAGGAGAAAAGCCCCCCUUUGUCCCACCCGUGCAAUGGUGUGAAAGAGACCGCUCUCCCCCCUCUCCACCCCCCCCCCCGAAAACCUCCUUUACCCACAGAAUUGAACUGUUGUGGACACACCGUUAGGAACUCACA